rnacentral:rRNA from 1 species
UACGUAGGGACCAAGCGUUGUUCGGAUUUACUGGGCGUAAAAGGGGCGCGUAGGCGGCAUGACAAGUCACUUGUGAAAUCUCUGGGCUUAACCCAGAACGGCCAAGUGAUACUGUCGCGCUAGAGUGCGGAAGGGGCAAUCGGAAUUCCCGGUGUAGCGGUGAAAUGCGUAGAUAUCGGGAGGAAUACCUAUGGCGAAAGCAGGCUACUGGACCGUCACUGACUCUGGAUCUGCGAAAGCCUAGGGGGAGCAAACAGG